rnacentral:rRNA from 1 species
UACGGAGGGUGCGAGCGUUGUCCGGAAUCACUGGGCGUAAAGGGCGCGUAGGCGGCGCGAGCAGUCGGCGGUGAAAGCCCGGAGCUCAACUCCGGGUCGGCCGUCGAUACUCUCGUGCUUGAGCACUGUAGAGGCAGGUGGAAUUCCGGGUGUAGCGGUGGAAUGCGUAGAGAUCCGGAAGAACACCGGUGGCGAAGGCGGCCUGCUGGGCAGUAGCUGACACUGAUGAACGAAAGCCAGGGGAGCAAACGGG